AGAAUGACUAACGAUGGAGACAACAGUAAUGGCUGCGAGUAAAUGGUCCCGCUGAGUGGAAUACGUCACCUGUGUCAGAUCGUCAGGUCUUACUGAACGUAACCAGGCGUCAUUUAUUUACCUGGGACGCCUUGGGAGGGUAGGCGCUGGUAACCCGGACGUCACGGCGGCUAUGUGUCUUGUGGUGCUGUGCUCUUCAACGGAGACGCGCAUACUGGAGGCGGAGAUCAGUACCGUGGCCUUCCAUCCUUCCCUUUGCAGACUUUACUUCGUUUUAUCAAGGUGACGAGACUCCUAAAGCUGAGCGGGAACAUUCAGCCUCAGAGGGACGCGGCGCUGCAGGUGACACGCCGAGGACGGAGGGAAGGCAGACAGGGCGGACGGCCGGUACCUGCCAGCGAGGGCGAGCGAGAGG